GGGGGGGAGGGGCGGCGAGGCGAGGCCUGCGGAGCGGAGGAAGACAAACAUAAAGAUGAAGUGCUUAAUUCAAGGUCACACAAUGUCGGGGAUGGACCUCCAGAUUUCCUUACUGGUGAGACGUGGUCUUGUAACACAGUGGUUAAGAAUGUGACUUUGGAGCCAGCCUGCUAGGGGCUGAAUUCUGACUCAGCCAUUUACUAACUGUGUGACCUUAGGUAAGUCAUUUACCUUCUUUGUCCCUCAGUUUCAUCUCGGUUAAGUAGGGAUAAUGAUAGCACCUAUUUUAUAGGGUUAUUGUGAGGAAUAAAUCCAAGUAAAAUGCUUAGAAUAGUAACUGAAACAUAGCACUCAUUAGGAAUGCUUUAAUUUUCAUUUAUUUGAGUAUUAAAGGUUGAAUUUUCAGAGGUAUUUUGGACCUUUGUAUUUUUUCUUUAAAUCACUUAUUCAUGACUUUUGAACUUUUUUUUUUCUUUUAGAGACAGGGUCUUGGUUUGUUGUCUAGGCUGGAAUGCAGUGGUGCAAUCAUAGCUCACUGUAGCCUUGAACUCUUGGGCUCAAGAGAUCCUCCUGCCUCAGCCUCGUGAGUAGCUGGGCCUACAGGCGCCUGCUACCACACCUGGCUAAUUUUUUAUUUUUUGUAGAGAUGGGUUCUUGCAGCCCAGACUGGUCUUGAGCUUUGGCCUGAAGUGCUCCUCCUGCCUUGGCCUCUCAAAGCAUUGGGGUUACAGGUGUGAAGCACUGCACCUUGCCUACACAUUUUUUCCAAUAAUUUUUUUUAUUAAUUUGUAAGAGUUAACAUGUCGACUAUCAUAUAUAACAUAGAAUUGUUCCCAUUUUGUCAUUUCCUUUCAACUUUGUCUAUGUAGCUUUUUUUCUGUGUGCAAAUUUUACAUUUUUAGGUAGUCAGAAAAUCUCUUCCCUUGUAAUUUUUUCUGCUACUAGACCAAUGUUUAGAAAAAAGCGUGCUUCCCCACCUCAAAAUUAUAAAAAUAGUUACUUGUUCUUUUUGAGUACUGUGUGUGUUUAAAUCUUUAAUCUUUAAAUUUAAAUCUUUGAUCCAUCUGGUAUUUAUUUUGAUAUGAAGAGAGUGGUUGGGAUCUGGCUGUAUUUCUUUUUUCUUUUUUUUUCUUUUUUCUUUUUUUGACGAAGUCUCACUGUUGCUCAGGCUGGAGUGCAAUGGCAUGAUCUCGGCUCAUCACAACCUCUGCUUCCUGGGUUCAAGCGAUUCUCCUGCCUCAGCCUCCCGAGUACCUGGGACUACAGGCACUCGCCACCAUGCCCGGCUGAUUUUUGUAUUUUUAAUAGAGAUGGUUUCACUAUGUUGGCCAGGCUGGUCUCGAACUCCUGACCUUGUGAUCUGCCCACCUCAGCCUCGAAAAGUGCUGGGAUUACAGGCGUGAGCCACUGCGCCCAGCCUUGUAUUUUUUUUCAGUUUGGGUAGCUGUCCCUAAUUCAUUUGUUAAAGGAGAAGCAAGAGCAAGAACCUUUAAUCUGUUCUCCUCUUCCCUAAUUUGAAAGUAGCUUGUUAUUUUGAAUAUCACUUUCUCUGAAAUAGCACAUCUCCAUCUCAGAGAAUGGAUUUAAUGUUUGGAUACAGCCAAAAGUCAUUUCAUUACCAAACCAUGGGGUGAAUAUACCAUGUAAAGCAGUUUGGGAUCAGAACUCACAGUCUGAAUUGUAAGUGAUGAGACUGCUGUCUCUCUGCUACAGCUUCUUGGCUGGCUCUGAAGGCUCUUUGAAGGCAGAUCCUAACAAGGGGACUGCUUUGAAGGGCCAUUGUUCAUUUGGAAUGAUAAAGUCUAUGUUGUUCAAAAAACAAAUGCUUGUAGCAGGUAUUUUUUCACUCCAGACUGAGAAUAUUGGUGGGAUAUUGAUAAGGGGUACUGAAUGGUAAUAAACAUGUGCUCUAGCUCUGUGCUAGUCAGCUUAUUUCAGAACUCUAGUUUGAUUCAGUUUCUUGCCUCUGACUCAAAAUGGAGGGAGAGUGAUUUUUACAUAAGAGAACACACCCACAUAUCCUUUUGGCAGCAGCUACCUGCCAGAGAUGUUGAAGAAGAGUAGCCAACCUUUACACAGCAGAUAUUGUGUGCCAGUCAUAGUCCUAAGUAUAAUACCUUACAUGUAUAAACUUCUUAUAAGGUUGGUGCUCUGUACCGAAUUGAAUAGUAUCCCCCAAAAUUCAUGUUGUCCCAGAACCUAUGAAAGUGAUCUUACUUGAGGGAGGGGGGAGGGGGGAGGGAUAGCAUUAGGAGAUAUACCUAAUGCUAAAUGACGAGUUAAUGGGUGUAGCACACCAGCAUGGCACAUGUAUACAUAUGUAACUAACCUGCACAUUGUGCACAUGUACCCUAAAACUUAAAGUAUAAUAAUAAUAAAAUAAAAAAAAAAAAGAAAGUGAUCUUACUUGGAAAUAAGGUCUUUGCACAUAUGAUCAAGUUGAGAUGAAGUUGUACUGGAAAGUCUGUCUAGUGACUGGUGUUGUCAUAAGAAGAGAGGGACACAGAGGGAAGAUGGCCACAUGAAGAUGGAGGCAGAGAUUGCAGUUAUGCUGCUGCAAACUAAGGAAUGGCUCUGGCCCUCCAAGGAUUGCUGAUAACCACCAGAAACUAGAAGAGACAAGGAAGGAUUCUUCCCUAGAGCCUUCAGAGGGAGCAUGGCCCUACUGACACCUGGAUUUCAAACUUGUAGCUUCCUAAACUGCAAGAGAAUAAAUUUCUGUUGUUUUAAGCCA
rnacentral:lncRNA from 1 species